rnacentral:rRNA from 1 species
UACAGAGGGGGCAAGCGUUGUUCGGAAUUACUGGGCGUAAAGGGCGCGUAGGCGGCCUGCUAAGUCGAACGUGAAAUCCCCGGGCUCAACCCGGGAACUGCGUCCGAUACUGGCAGGCUUGAAUCCGGGAGAGGGAUGUGGAAUUCCAGGUGUAGCGGUGAAAUGCGUAGAUAUCUGGAGGAAUACCGGUGGCGAAGGCGGCAUCCUGGACCGACAUUGACGCUGAGGAGCGAAAGCUAGGGGAGCAAACGGG